rnacentral:rRNA from 1 species
CCCGCGUCUGAUUAGCUAGUUGGUAAGGUAACGGCUUACCAAGGCGACGAUCAGUAGCCGGCUUGAGAGAGUGACCGGCCACAUUGGGACUGAGACACGGCCCAAACUCCUACGGGAGGCAGCAGUGGGGAAUAUUGCACAAUGGGCGAAAGCCUGAUGCAGCGACGCCGCGUGAGUGAAGAAGUAUUUCGGUAUGUAAAGCUCUAUCAGCAGGGAAGAAAAUGACGGUACCUGACUAAGAAGCCCCGGCUAACUACGUGCCAGCAGCCGCGGUAAUACGUAGGGGGCAAGCGUUAUCCGGAAUUACUGGGUGUAAAGGGUGCGUAGGCGGUAAUGUAAGUCAGGUGUGAAAGUCCGAAGCUAACCCCGGGACUGCAUUUGAAACUGGUAGACUUGAGUGCAGGAGAGGUAAGUGGAAUUCCUAGUGUAGCGGUGAAAUGCGUAGAUAUUAGGAGGAACACCAGUGGCGAAGGCGACUCACUGGACUGUAACUGACGCUGAGGCGCGAAAGCGUGGGGAGCAAACAGGAUUAGAUACCCUGGUAGUCCACGCCGUAAACGAUGAGUGCUAGGUGUCGGGGGUAUCGACCCCCUCGGUGCCACAGCUAACGCAAUAAGCACUCCGCCUGGGGAGUACGGUCGCAAGACUGAAACUCAAAGGAAUUGACGGGGGCCCGCACAAGCGGUGGAGCAUGUGGUUUAAUUCGAAGCAACGCGAAGAACCUUACCAGGUCUUGACAUCCCUCUGACCGGUCCGUAACGGGACCUUUCCUUCGGGACAGAGGAGACAGGUGGUGCAUGGUUGUCGUCAGCUCGUGUCGUGAGAUGUUGGGUUAAGUCCCGCAACGAGCGCAACCCUUAUCUUUAGUAGCCAGCACGUUAAGGUGGGAACUCUAGAGAGACUGCCGAGGAUAACUCGGAGGAAGGUGGGGAUGACGUCAAAUCAUCAUGCCCCUUAUGAUCUGGGCUACACACGUGCUACAAUGGCGAUAACAAAGGGACGCAACCCCGCGAGGGCAAGCAAAUCCCAGAAAGGUGUUCUCAGUUCGGAUUGUAGUCUGCAACUCGACUACAUGAAGUUGGAAUCGCUAGUAAUCGCGAAUCAGAAUGUCGCGGUGAAUACGUUCCCGGGUCUUGUACACACCGCCCGUCACACCAUGGGAGUUGGAAGCGCCCGAAGCCAGUGACUCAACCGCAAGGAGAGAGCUGUCGAAGGUGAAGCCAAUGACUGGGGUGAAGUCGUAACAAGGUAACCC